rnacentral:tRNA from 1 species
GACCGGUUGGCGCAAUGGUAGCGUAUAGACCUCCUACUCAUCCGCCAAUUGAAACAAAUUGGUUGUAGAGGUCAGUCUAGGGUUGCGGGUUCGAGUCCCGUGCUGGUCG